rnacentral:rRNA from 1 species
CGGACGGGUGAGUAACGCGUGAAGAAUCUGUCCUUAAAUUGAGAAUAACCUUGUGAAAGUAGGGCUAAUUCUCAAUAAUCUGAUAGGUGAGCAUUCACCAAUCAGAAAAGACGGUUUAUCUGUCGUUUAAGGAGGUCUUCGCGUCGGAUUAGCUAGCUGGUAGGAUAACAGCCUACCAGGGCAUCGAUCCGUAGCUGGUCUGAGAGGACGAUCAGCCACACUGGGACUGAGACACGGCCCAGACUCCUACGGGAGGCAGCAGUGGGGAAUCUUGCACAAUGGGCGAAAGCCUGAUGCAGCGACGCCGCGUGGGGGACGAAGGCCCUCGGGUCGUAAACCCCUACCAGCAGGGAGGAAGAAGGACGUCAGGAAAUGGGCGUCCGGUGACGUUACCUGCUGUAUUAGCCCCGGCUAACUACGUGCCAGCAGCCGCGGUAACACGUAGGGGGCAAGCGUUAUCCGGAAUCACUGGGCGUAAAGGGUGCGCAGGCGGGCCUGCAAGUCCGAUGUGAAAGCCCCGGGCUCAACUCGGGAAGUGCAUCGGAAACUGUGGGUCUUGAGGACCGGAGAGGAAGGCCGAAUUCGCGGUGUAGCGGUGAAAUGCGUAGAUAUCGCGAGGAAGACCAGUGGCGAAAGCGGCCUUCUGGACGGUUCCUGACGCUCAGGCACGAAAGCGUGGGUAGCAAACGGGAUUAGAUACCCCGGUAGUCCACGCUGUAAACUAUGGGCACUAGGUGUUGGCGAUACAACUCGUCAGUGCCGUAGCUAACGCAUUAAGUGCCCCGCCUGGGAAGUACGUCCGCAAGGAUGAAACUCAAAGGAAUUGACGGGGGCCCGCACAAGCGGUGGAGCACGUGGUUUAAUUGAAUGCAAAGUCACGAACCUUACC